GUCAUUCACGCGCGCCGCAGCGGGGCACCGGAAGUUAUGGAGCUCAAAUUUGUUGUUGUUUUUAUAUCGAAGAGGCAUGUUUUGGGAUGACAUUGUGGUUUUCUUCAACACCGUUUAGGUAGUCAGAGGUAUUAAUAGGGGACCCUAUUACCACAUGUCUUUCUCCCUCAGUGUAUGAUAUAAUUUGUAAUCUUGGGUUUCAACUCAGAGAAAAUUGUGAUAUCAAUAGCAUUGUAACUCAGAAUGGUGAAGUAUGCUGGAAAACAAUCACAGACUGUGUGAGCUACACAGAGUCAGGGUCUGGAUUACUGGGGAAGCGUGAGGCUGCUGGGCCCUGUGUGUGAGGCUGUCCAUUCACAUUUCUUAUCUCUGACCAAGGGGCAAUUUGAAAUUCGAUAUGCACCGUGGUUCCAGUGGACAAGUUUUCCAGAGUUAUUUCCUGAAAUAUUUGAUGCCUUGGAAAGUCUACAAUCUCCUGCUAUUUCUCUUAGCUUAAUGAAACUGACAUCGUGUCUAGAACGAGCCUUGGGUGAUGUAUUUUUACUGAUUGG
rnacentral:lncRNA from 10 species